UAUAUGAAGAAGAGGAAACAUGUAGACACAUGAUACUAACCUCUUUAUAUCUAUUACCAUCCCUCAUACCAAUAAUACUCACAUUAUUCCUCAGUAGCUGUUGCUCUAGUAGACUAGUAGUGUCUAGUGUAUAUGUACCAGGAGACAGGUUGAUAAGGAUACCUGAUGAACAGUUGUAUUGUAGAGUAGCAGUUCCUUGUAUAGCUAGAUCAAUAGUAGCACAAGGUGUUUGAACUCCUCCAGUCCAACAAGAGAUCCUACACUCCAAACCAGCAGCAGAAUAUACUAGAACAA